AUAUCUUUCUCAGCCUUUUGGUUAAGAUAAAGUGUUAUAUUUGUUCUUAUCGAUUUAAUAUUUGAUAUAUAAUUAUAUGUUCACUUUGAUAUUAAAUUUAUUUUUAACUCGGCAAUGGGUGGUGCCAUUUACACUCGCGCGGGGCGAGGAAGAAAGCAGGGUGCGUGAUCCAUUC
rnacentral:snRNA from 1 species